AGUGAUCCCGUACCAGGAACAAUGGAAAAGGGUCGCUAAAAUAGAAAGCUAGAAUUGUGUCUGGCUUGCUGUCUCUGUAGCAGACUGCUAGGAGCCAUAUUCUCUGAGACUCCAAGCUUCUUUGCUGUGAUCCACAGUGCAUAUAACUCAGAGCCAGAGGAAGCAAAUAUGAAGUGGUCAGGCCGGACUCAUAAAGGGGGGUCCGGGGGUCCUCCCCCGGGAAAUUUUUUUGAAUGGUAUAUGAGGUUGCACCUAAAAUUUCUGAGACGGUGAAUGAUACCGGUUUGGAGAGGCACCAAUGUGAGGACACUGAAAGGAACUCAAUUACAGUUUGGUACGGCAAUGUUCCCCGGCAAGUCUAGACUUGUGAGUGCCGGUACCAGUGCAGCUAAUACCUUUCCCAGGCUUGCUAUAACAGUGAUAAAAGAAGGUCGCUUAUACAAAUUAACGUCAAAGAGGCAAAAAGGCAACUAAUCUAAAGGGUUUGAAGUUUCAGAAGAGAUACUGUGUGCUCUCACCCCACUCACUCGAGUACUAUGAGAGUAAAAAGUUAAUCAAGCAUAUUGAGAUGGGUCUUAGGCCCAACAAUACAUAUUUGGUUGAAGACAUCAAAAUAGUGGAGAAAGUGCCUUAUGAAACUUUUCGAAAACCACAUUGCUUUCAGAUCGGAAGUAAGGAAGAGGUCAUGUACUUCUGUGCUGGGUCUGAGGAACAUUGUCAACUCUGGAUCAAUGCAUUUAUUAAAGCUGCUUUUGAAAUGAGAGAGAACAAACGAGAGCCAUCAUACCACAACGGUGCUUUUGGACACACUAUGCACAACCGCUGGAGCUGUUGCAAACAGAAGGACAGAAAUGCUGAAGGGUGUGAGAGCAGCACGGCUUGUUCUGCCCAUGUGGAACUUCAAGAUGAAGAUACCGUAUCUCUAGAGAGCCUCGAGUUCAAUAAAGGAAUCGAUUAUAAGCCUGGUCUACUUGAUGCCGCCACUGACCGACACUAUUCAAUUCAGAGUGCAGAAAGUGGGUAUGGACAAUCACCAGCUAUUAGUCGCCAAGGCACUGCAGUCUCAGAUAGUGGUGAUCAAGUUUCUAAGAGGGUAUCGACUAGUCUACAAAUGGAUUCCAGGGAUUCUGGACUUCCAGUAAGCUGCCUGUGUACAUGGACUUGCAUGCAGUCAUUACAUCACAUUAGUUUUGCUCAGACUUCAGCCAUCAUGAUAAUUACUGAAGAGGACCUACCGAUACGUGUGAGUUAAGCCCCAAUUAUUAUAACACUCUAUUGUACGGGUGGCCGAUAGGGGUCACCCGCCUCUGCUUGCCGCCAACUAAUAUCGAGAGCGGUAAAUCAGUUACUGCCCGCGGCAAAGGGUCACCGCUCCAUUUAGCUGCGAGCGGUAAAUGAGUUACCGCCCGCGGCGAGGUCCAAAAGUAUCUGGUAAAGGUAUGUGUUUCUAAUAAGAGCACACCCAUGAUAUUCUAAUAAGAGCGCAUGGGGAUUUCAUCACUGUGACCCUGAGUACUAUGCAUGGUAUAGUACUCCAGGACUUACAAAUGAAAUCCCUGUGCAUAGUCUAUGCUUUGUGAAGGUCCUCUGGGAUGUGUAAUAAUUUAAAAGUUCUCCACACAGAUGCUGCAAACACAAGGUGCGCUCUUCGAGAUAUCUUGCGAUUUUUACCACUGGCGGCAAGGUUUUUAACCGCGGCGGUUCAUGAAGGCGGCCACUCAUUUACCGGUCGUGGAUAAAGUCGCUCUUUACCGCUCGCGGUAUUUUCGGAUGGGUUAAGGAGUCAACAUUCAUUUACCAUUCGCGGGUAGAGAAGGUGGCGACCCUUUAUCGCGCGCGGCAUAGGAGGGUGGCAAGCGGAGGCGGGUGACUUCUAUUGGCCACCAUACUAUUGCCUUUUGACCUCUGAGAUCAAAAGAAUAGUUGGCAAUAUGAUUAUGACAUAUUGCACUGUGGUCAGUCCUGUAUAAUUAUGACCGGCAGAAAGUUGACCUUUUGGUGAGUUUCCCACCUCCCAACCCAAACUGUCAAAUCAUUGCUUUUUAGUGACUUAUAUUAAAUGUCAUUCCUACAAAAGAUAUAAGGUGUACAAAAAAUUAUACAAGUAAAGGACAUGCAGUCUCUCUACUGUAUACGUUUUUAAUGAUAUUAUUGCUCUUAAAAAACUUAUAUACAUUUUUAAUGAUAUUAUAUUGCUCUUAAAAAACUUAUUUACAUGUGCAUGAAGUUACUGAAAGGGUUCUGUAUACUGAUAUCAUGCAGGCUGCAAGCAAGCACUCUCAUUCAAGUGAUUCGACUUCAAAGUAGUGUUUCGAAGAAUUUAUGACUCAGCCCAAAUAAACUUUUCGUAUAUAUACUAGCUAUAAUUACGAUCAUUUAAAACCUUAUAAUUAUGCACAUUGUAUUUGAUUUACACACUUUUAUUACAAUUAUAUAGUCGAUAAUUUGACUCGUUCACACAACCUGAUCGACAAAAGAAGCAAAAUCAAACUGGAACAGACUGUAGCGUAAAAAUAUUGUCCUUAAAAACAGCGACGAGAGACAAGAAUAUGUCAACAAAUGCAUGAUGGAGUCACUGCAUGUACAUGAGAGGUGAUGAUCAUAUAGAAAGAAAGAAGAACCGAAAGAAGGGUGGCUUGACAAGUUGUAUAACGUACUGACAGCUAGACAUGCAGACAGUUUAUGAGCAGUUCCCAAACAAGAACUACAUCAAACGUAGGAAGGCUGUGCUAUUCGAAGGGCAUCAAAAUGUGUUGAGGAUACAAUUCAGUACUGCAAACUUACCUGGAAAUUGGGGUCUUCAGUUAAGCAAACACAAGGAACCAGAUUACAGAAGGAGAACUUUGUUUCUGGGGCGAUCCUAUUAAGAGAGAUAUUAAAGAGCUCUGCAGAAUAGGGGUUUAUCCACCCAGAAUUCCUGUUCGUGUUACUUGUGGGGAGUUUGUGAGAGGAGGGGUGUUUACCACAAUCUCGUUCUCCGGAAUCUGUGGAAGAGUAGAAAGCGUUAGCAGGGAUUUCAACCUUGAAUUGACCAAGCCUCAACCAGCACUUGCUUCUCUCGGACUUGAUGAAUAUGAGAUUUUGAAAGACGAGUUACAAGAUAAACUUUAUGAAAAUGCAAAUAGUAUCAGCUGUGAACGACUGGCUUUAGCUUUGUAUUCAGAAUCGUCUAUUCAAAAAUGCCCAUACUUGGCCCAGGACAGCACAACUAGAAAGAAAAUUAAAUCAUUUGUUUCAAUUGCAAAACCAAAUGGGUGUUGUAUUUCAUUGAGUGAAGAUGAAAACUUUCGUGCUAACUAUGCGAUUCUCACAGAAGCUCUCGAUAUAGCAGAUACUAUAGAUCUUCACUACACAGAAGUGAUAAAGAAAGCAUUAGAACUAUCAAAAUCCAGAAAAGACAAAUCUGGAACAUUGACAAGACAAUCACUGUCUGUUUCAACGCUAUCUAAAUCACCUUACUUUAAAUAAAGAUACUAUAAAUAUGCAAGCAUUCAUUCAAGUGAUUCAAGUGAUUCAACUUAGUCAUAACUCAGCUCAGUAACGUUUCAGCUAUAGGUAGUCUAAUAGUGAGCUAGAGUACUUAUAAAUGUAUUGUGCAAGUUUACGUUUCAUUUUUUAGCAUCUCAUGCGAGCACAUUUUUAUACAGUGUCAUAUA